UACGAAGGGGGCUAGCGUUGUUCGGAAUUACUGGGCGUAAAGCGCACGUAGGCGGAUUGUUAAGUUAGGGGUGAAAUCCCAGGGCUCAACCCUGGAACUGCCUUUAAUACUGGCAAUCUCGAGUCCGAGAGAGGUGAGUGGAAUUCCGAGUGUAGAGGUGAAAUUCGUAGAUAUUCGGAGGAACACCAGUGGCGAAGGCGGCUCACUGGCUCGGUACUGGCGCUGAGGUGCGAAAGCGUGGGGAGCAAACAGG
rnacentral:rRNA from 1 species